GGCUCAGCAGUCGGGUCUUCCUUCAAUGGUUGUACUCGAGUGCUUUGCCUUAUCUUCUAGGCUCGCGUCGCAAGGCGCAAGAUUCUAGGACUUUUACUGUGAAAAAAUUAGAGUGUUUAAAGCAGGCACACGCUUGAAUACAUUAGCAUGGAAUAAUGAAAUAGGACGUUUGACCCUAUUUUGUUGGUUUCUAGGAUCGACGUA
rnacentral:rRNA from 1 species